GACGAACGCUGGCGGCGUGCUUAACACAUGCAAGUCGAACGGAAAGGCCCUGCUUUUGUGGGGUGCUCGAGUGGCGAACGGGUGAGUAACACGUGAGUAACCUGCCCUUGACUUUGGGAUAACUUCAGGAAACUGGGGCUAAUACCGGAUAGGAGCUCCUGCUGCAUGGUGGGGGUUGGAAAGUUUCGGCGGUUGGGGAUGGACUCGCGGCUUAUCAGCUUGUUGGUGGGGUAGUGGCUUACCAAGGCUUUGACGGGUAGCCGGCCUGAGAGGGUGACCGGGCAGAGUGGGACCGGUAUGCGGCCCAGCAGCAGCCGGGGGGCAGCAGUGGGGAUGGUUGCAGGAUGGGAGUGAGCUUGAUGCCGCAUUGCGGCGUGGGGGGUGAGGGCAGUAGGGUAGUGAACGACUAACGCCUGAGACACAGAGAGAGGAACGGUGAUGUGUCGAGAAGCACGAAGUGGCUACGUG
rnacentral:rRNA from 1 species